CUGCUCCAACUACACAUCAUUAGUAUUAAUAUUACCAAUCAAUCAAUCAAUCAACUAAUUAGUUAAAAAUAAAUGCUCACUCAAAAAGAAUUUUCCAGCAGAACUUGUUUUAAAACAUAAAAGCUGUUGCCCUUCUUACACCACAAAUUUUACACCUGAAAUGCAUUUGAAACAGUACUUAACCACAGUACCAUCAGAGUACUAGCCAUAUCAGUAAAAAAAAAUCAAAUACACAAGUAAAUAUACUGAUCAAACAAAGCAACGACGUUGAUGUCCACUUUAUAAUUAUGAUUAGAAAAGACAAGGUUACUAUAUCCAGCCAAAUGAACAAAAAAAAAAAA
rnacentral:misc_RNA from 1 species